rnacentral:lncRNA from 1 species
AUUAGGUUGUCUGUUGACAGUCUGUUGAUGUCUUGUUCAGUAAAAAUAAAUUUCGUCAACAGUUUUGUUAUUGUUACAGGAUAUUGUUCCUCUUUUAGAGAAGUUCAGUGGAACAAAGGCAAUAUUUUGGGAUGAACAACUCACUGGCCCCAUUGGUUUGGUGGCAGAAUACAGUUUUCUUAAGGAACUAGAUGUUGUAAAAAUGUUCCAGUUAAAACCUGGGUGCUUGCCUUCCAUAUCUGUUAAAAAUAUACUGUUCAUCACAAGACCUGAAGUUGAGCUGAUGGAUUGUAUUGCCGAUAACUUGCACAGCGAAGAAAGCCAAGGACAUUCUGCUAGUAAGGAAUAUCAGUUAAUUUUUAUCUCCCGAUGAAGUGCAGUAUGUGAACAGCGGCUCAAGGACAAAGGAGUGUAUGGAACUCUUACUUCUAUUGAUGAACUGCCUGUUGAUUUUUUCCCACUAGAUAGUGAUGUCAUUUCAAUGGAACUCGAUAAUGUUUUCAAGGAUUUAUAUGUUGACAAUGAAAUCAGCUCCUUACACCAAAUUGCUCAUGGGUUAAUGUCCCUCCAAAGUUUAUAUGGCAUUUUCCCCAACGUUGUGGGUAAGGGGCGCCAUGCCCGUAACGUAUUCGAAUUGAUGACUCGAAUGCGAGUGAUAUUGGGGUAGACUGUGAUCCCCCCAUAUCUCCGUUGUUCGACACUCUUAUGAUCAUUGAUAGGACUGUAUAUUUGAUAACUCCUGUUGUCACUCAGUUGACCUAUGAGGGUCUUAUCGACGAAUUCUAUGGAAUAAAACAUAAUACAGUCAAGCUUCCAGGAGAAAAUUUUCAAGCCUCAUCACAUGCGGGCCAGUCACCUCGCUCUGAUGGUAGCUCUGUUAAAUCUGUUGUUCUAAACUCGGCCGAAGAGCUUUACGCUGAUUUGAGGGACAAGAACUUUUCAGCCGUGGGUACUGCACUCAGUCGCAAAGCUAAAGCUAUUUCAGCUCAGUAGCCUGGAUAACGCCAUUGUUGCAUUUGGAGGUGUUAAGGUUUCUGCAUUCGCACGCGAUAGUGGAGAAAUAUUCCUAGACUCCUUCGAUGAUUCGGUAAUCAUGAUCAACCCGGAUAUACCUGAUGAAAGGGAGCUGAGGGAGUGGCUUAAAGACAAUCAGUAAACAAAUCCUUUUUUACUGACUGUCUGAAGAUCUUAAUUACUUGACGUCCUUAAACAUCGACUGCAGCUAAUUGCCUCCAUCUUUUCGCGAAUUGUUGCCUCCAUCUGUUUCCCUGAAUUGUUGCCUUGCCUCAAACUUUUUUCCUAAAAUAUGGCUUCGAUCUUGUAACCUGAACUGUUGCCUCGAUGUUGUACCCUGAACUGUUGCCUUUUUACCUCAGCCCUUGUGAUGGAGAAAUUGGACCACUGUCUGAGUUUAACUCAAGAAUUUACAUUGUUUAUUAUUUUAUUUCGUAAAUGAUACAGAAAAAAAAUCCAGGAAAUUACAAUAAACAAAAUCUUACGAAA